rnacentral:lncRNA from 1 species
AAGGACAAGGUGGUGCUGGACGUGGGCAGCGGCACCGGCAUCCUCUGCAUGUUCGCUGCCAAGGCGGGGGCCAGGAGGGUCAUCGGGGUGAGCCCCAAAUCUGGGGGGUUUUGGGGUGAAUUUGGGGGGUUUUGGGAAAAAAUUGGGAGAAAUUUGGAGGAUUUUGGGUGAAAUUUGAGGGAUUUUGGGUGAAAUUUGGGGGAUUUUUGGGUGAAAUUUGGGGGAUUUUGGAGCAGAUUUCGGUGUCCUGGCAAAGCCAGAGCAUCUCCGGGGGAGAUUUCGGGGAGAUUUGGGGGAUUUUGGGUGAAAUUUGGGGGAUUUGGAGCAGAUUUGGGGUGAAUUUGGGGGAUUUUGGGAAAAAUUUGAGGUAUUUUGGGGGAAUUUUGGGGGAUUUUGGGUGAAAUUUGGGGGAUUUUGGUGUUUUUUGGGUGGAUUUUGGUGUUUUUUGGGUGGAUUUUGGGGUUUUUUGGGUGGAUUUUGGGGGUUUUUGGGUGGAUUUGGGUGGUUUUUAGGUCAUUUUUGGGGGGUUUUGGGUGGAUUGGGGGGUUUUGGGGUGAUUUUGGGGUGUUUUGGGUGGAUUUUGGGGGUUUUUGGGGUUUUUUGGGGUGUUUUGGGGUGGAUUUUGGGGUCCCACGCUGCCCCUCCCGCAGAUCGAGUGCUCGAGCAUUUCCGACUACGCCGUCAAGAUCGUCAAGGCCAACAAACUGGACCACGUGGUUUCCAUCAUCAAGGGCAAGGUGGAGGAGGUGGAGCUGCCGGUGGAGAAGGUGGACAUCAUCAUCAGCGAGUGGAUGGGAUAUUGUCUGUUCUACGAGUCCAUGCUCAACACCGUCAUCUACGCCCGUGACAAGUGGCUGGUGAGCCCCAAAACCCCGGGGAUUCAGCCCAAAAAUCCCGGGAAUUUAUCCUAAAAAUCCCAGGAAUUUAUCCUAAAAAUCCUGGGGAUUCAGCCCCAAAAUCCCGGGAAUUUAUCUUAAAAAUCCUGGGAGUUAUCAGAGAAAUCCUGGGAAUUCAGCCCCAAAAUCCUGGGGAUUUAUCCCAAAAAUCCUGGGAAUUUAUCCCAAAAAUCCUGGGGAUUCAGCCCAAAAAUCCCAGGAAUUUAUCCCAAAAAUUUGGGAAAAAAUCCCCAAAAAUUUGGGAAAAAAUCCCAAAAAAUUUGGGAAAAAAUCCCAAAAAUUUGGUAAAAAUCCCCAAAAAACCCUAAAAAAAUCUCAUUUUUCCCUUUAAAUCUCCCUUUAUCCACCAAAUCCCGCCUUAAAAAUUCCCAAAAAAAAAAUCCUGGAAUUCCCCUGGACCUUGAGCAUCCCGGGGAGCCCCAGACAGCCUUGGGAAUUUUGGGAAUUUUGGGAAUUUUGGGAAUUCUGCAGACCCCGGACGGGCUGAUCUUCCCCGACCGCGCCACGCUCUAC